GCUGUUUGACAGUUCACUUCGGUUCUUCUGUGUUAUGAACACUUCCUCUAAAAUGAAAGCAGAAGCGGCAAAGUGAUUCAAGACUUGUACACCAAAGCAAAACACACACACACACACACACACACAAGACAGAAUCUGUAUAGUGACUUAGAAAGGACAAAGACAGUGAAAAGAAUCACAUGGUAGUGAGAGCUUGCCUAGUUCAAGGUGGGUAAGGAGAAAGUAAAUAGACGAAACUGGUUCAGCAGGUAAACCGGCAUUAAACGACUGUUGUGGACUGCUAGCACGCUCAAGUGAUGUGGUAAAUAUUUAAUCAAACCGAAGAUUUCCAACAUUCUCAAGCUACAAAUCGGAGACACGAGAGAAAGUUUGCACUGUGGUGACACAAUGGCAUCCUCCAGGAAAACCUGGGCGUUCUCCUCUGUGCGUUCAAAGACUAGAGCGCCACUGGAUGAAGGGGAAAAUUAUUUCAGAAGAAGAUUGUUUUCUUCUUUUAGAAGUGAUCGACGUGAACGUGAGUCACUCAGUUUACACACCAGGCCAUCCAAAUGUGCCCUGCUUUAUAAAUAAAC
rnacentral:lncRNA from 1 species